rnacentral:rRNA from 1 species
UUGUGAUUAAUUUAAUUAAUUUUUUAUUUAUUUAUUUUUUGAUAAAAAUAAUUUAUAUUUUAGUAUUUAAUUUUAUUGAAUAAAUUAUUAUUAUUUAUAGUUAAUUUCACUGUGAAGGUGAAUAUUUAUCCAUAAUAUAAGUAUAAUUAUUUUUUAGUACCUUUUGUAUCAGGGUUUAUUGAUUUCUCUAACUUAAUGUUAUUUUCCCGAAUUUAUAAGGGCUAUUAAUUUUCUGCUUUUUAAUGUUUCAUAAUUAUUUGAAAGAUAUUAAUAGUAGUUAUAUGCCAUUCAUUUAUAAUAUAUCUGGUUUUUUAAUAAUUGAAUUCAAUUCAGGAUUUAUAUUUUCUUAAGUUCAUUUAAUUACUUUUGAUAAUUUAAAUCUAAUACUUAUAGGGAUAAGCCUUUAAAGUGUUUUUAUAGUUAUAAUUUAUAUUCAUAAGUUCAGUAGGAUUAGAAACUUCCAUCAAUAUAAUUCGUUAUAGUCUAUUUUAUGUGUUUGUUUAUUUAAUAUUAACUUAAAUCUUUAUUAGAGUUUUUUAAUUACUUUGAAAUUAAAAGUAUUUAUGAUAAAAUUAGUAAUUUUUUUAUAUAAAGUAUAGUAAUUCGGCAAAUUUUAUAUUCACCUGUUUAUCAAAAACAUGUCCUGUUGGUUAUUUUAUAUUAGGUCUGGCCUGCCCACUGAUAAUUUAUUGAAGGGCCGCGGUAUUUUGACCGUGCGAAGGUAGCAUAAUCAUUUGUCUUUUAAUUGUAGGCUUGUAUGAAUGGUUUGAUGAAAUAUAAACUUUCUUUACUUUAAUUGAUUAAACUUAAUUUUUUAGUUAAAAAGCUAAAAUUUAUUUGUAGGACGAGAAGACCCUAUAGAAUUUUAUUUAUUAUAGUUUUUAUUUAAUUUGGUUAUUUAUUUAUUUAAAUCUUGCUAUGAAUUUUGUUGGGGCGACAGAGAAAUUUCUUUAACUUUCUUUUAUUUAUUAUUAUUGAUUAAUAUUUUUAUGAUCCUGUAUUUAUGGAUAUUAAGAUUAAAUUACCUUAGGGAUAACAGCGUAAUUCUUAUGGAGAGUUCUUAUCGAUAUAGGAGUUUGCGACCUCGAUGUUGGAUUAAAUUUAGAUUUUAGUGUAGCAGCUAAUUUUCUAGGUCUGUUCGACCUUUAAAUAUUUACAUGAUCUGAGUUCAGACCGGCGUGAGCCAGGUUGGUUUCUAUCCUCAUAAUUAUUUUUAAUUCUUAGUACGAAAGGACCAGAAUCAGUAGAUAUUCUAUAAUUAUAUGAUUUUUAUUAAUA